GCAAAACGCGAAGAACCUUACCUACUCUUGACAUCCAGAGAACUUAGCAGGGAUGCUUUGGUGCCUUCGGGAACUCUGAGACAGGUGCUGCAUGGCUGUCGUCAGCUCGUGUUGUGAAAUGUUGGGUUAAGUCCCGCAACGAGCGCAACCCUUAUCCUUUGUUGCCAGCGGUUAGGACCGGGAACUCAAAGGAGACUGCCAGUGAUAAACUGGAGGAAGGUGGGGAUGACGUCAAGUCAUCAUGGCCCUUACGAGUAGGGCUACACACGUGCUACAAUGGCAUAUACAAAGAGAAGCGACCUCGCGAGAGCAAGCGGACCUCAUAAAGUAUGUCGUAGUCCGGAUUGGAGUCUGCAACUCGACUCCAUGAAGUCGGAAUCGCUAGUAAUCGUGGAUCAGAAUGCCACGGUGAAUACGUUCCCGGGUCUUGUACACACCG
rnacentral:rRNA from 1 species